AGAGUUUGAUCCUGGCUCAGAACGAACGCUGGCGGCGUGCUUAACACAUGCAAGUCGAACGAGAAAGAUUCUCUUCGGAGAAUUGAUUAAAGUGGCGCACGGGUGAGUAACGCGUAGAUAAUCUACCCUGAUAUUCGGGAUAACAUUUCGAAAGAGGUGCUAAUACCGGAUACGCUCUUUUGUACGCGAGUAUAANAGAGGAAAGACGGCCUCUGCUUGCAAGCAGUCGUAUCAGGAUGAGUCUGCGUACCAUUAGCUGGUUGGUGGGGUAACGGCCUACCAAGGCAACGAUGGUUAGCGGGUCUGAGAGGAUGAUCCGCCACACUGGAACUGGAACACGGACCA
rnacentral:rRNA from 1 species